rnacentral:tRNA from 1 species
GUUGGUGUAGCUUAAGUAAAGCAUAGUACUGAAGAUGCUAAGAUAGACCUUAGCAGGUCUCCCCAACA